rnacentral:rRNA from 1 species
UCGAGAAUCAUUCACAAUGGGGGAAACCCUGAUGGUGCGACGCCGCGUGGGGGAAGAAGGUCUUCGGAUCGUAAACCCCUGUCAUGUGGGAGCAAGCAGCGAUGUAGAUAGUACCACAAGAGGAAGCACCGGCUAACUCCGUGCCAGCAGCCGCGGUAAUACGGAGGGUGCGAGCGUUAAUCGGAAUCACUGGGCGUAAAGCGCUCGUAGGCUGUUUGUUAAGUCAGAGGUGAAAUCCCACGGCUCAACCGUGGAACUGCCUUUGAUACUGGCAGACUAGAAUCCGGGAGAGGGUGGCGGAAUUCCAGGUGUAGGAGUGAAAUCCGUAGAUAUUAGGAGGAACACCAGUGGCGAAGGCGGCCUGCUGGGCUUUUACUGACGCUGAGGCUCGAAAGUGUGGGUAGCAAACA